rnacentral:tRNA from 1 species
GGGCAAUAGCUCAGUUGGUUAGAGCAGCGGACUCAUAAUCCGUUGGUCGCAGGUUCAAGUCCUCCUUGCCCC